CUAUGUGUGUUAAUGAAGCACGCAUUCGUUGAGAUAAAUGUUUGUUAUUCAUGGUCAUGUGCAAUUAUAUUACACGCAAUAACUAUUGUAGCGAACACAGCAUUUUACCGCCGAGUCUGCAGUUGUUUGGCCUUCACCUAUAUCAUUAUAGUCUAUUGCCAAAAAGCCUGGUAACAAGGAAAAGAAUAAUAAGCUCUGUUGGAAUGAAGGUUACGAAUAAUGACAUCAUUGUCGAAACUCAUGCCCUGUGAUUACUUCAACGAUUUUUGUGUUGCUUUGGGAUUCAGCCUUA